rnacentral:lncRNA from 1 species
UGUUCAAGCCAGGAGUAUGGCACACAUCUAUCAUCACAGCAUUCAGGAGCCUGGGGCAAGAGGACUGCCCUGAGUUCCAGGCCAGCCUGGGCUACACAGUGAGAUCCUGUCUCAAUAAAUAAAUAAAUACGGAGAUGCAUUUGAACUGCAGGCAAUAGGAGAGAAUUUCCCCAGCAGAACGACAGCAACCAGAUACAACAUCAAUACCCAGUCACACUUCCUGGAACUGUCGUGGUAUGUCCUGAGGAAGAGAGGCCGUGAACCCCAAUCUGCGGAGGAAAACGUGUAGGGUGCACUGCACACAGAUCUGAUACGCAUGGGCACUGGGGAAGUGUAGUUUUUCCUGUGUGAUGUUCCUGCACAUCAGAAAACGUCUCUAUGGCCCAUCACUUUCUGG